rnacentral:rRNA from 1 species
AUUGAACGCUGGCGGCAUGCUUUACACAUGCAAGUCGAACGGCAGCACGGACUUCGGUCUGGUGGCGAGUGGCGAACGGGUGAGUAAUACAUCGGAACGUGCCCAGUUGUGGGGGAUAACUACUCGAAAGAGUAGCUAAUACCGACUGAGAACUGAGGUUGAAAGCAGGGGAUCGUAAGACCUUGCGCAACUGGAGCGGCCGAUGGCAGAUUAGGUAGUUGGUGGGAUAAAAGCUUACCAAGCCGACGAUCUGUAGCUGGUCUGAGAGGACGACCAGCCACACUGGGACUGGGACACGGCCCAGACUCCUACGGGAGGCAGCAGUGGGGAAUUUUGGACAAUGGGCGAAAGCCUGAUCCAGCAAUGCCGCGUGCAGGAUGAAGGCCUUCGGGUUGUAAACUGCUUUUGUACGGAACGAAAAGCUUCGGGUUAAUACCCUGGAGUCAUGACGGUACCGUAAGAAUAAGCACCGGCUAACUACGUGCCAGCAGCCGCGGUAA